CCACUCUUCUCCUGUCAUUAUGUGCUGAUGUAGGCAGGCUAUAAAUUCUAUGUAGUUCCACCUCUCGCCCUCUUCUCUUCCUGUGGUGGCAGCUGUGGACAUGGGGUUUGGGAGCAGAUAGAAAAGCUUAGGCACAUGGUUUUAUUUUGUUAGAUAAUUACUUUUUUAUUCCUUUACUUCAACCACUCCAAACUUCAGACUCCACCACCCUGAUCAGUCAGCACCCAACAGCAAAGAGGCAAGAUCCAACACCAGCAAAAAGAUUAAGAUUUGCUGAAUGUUCAGAAUACGAUCCUGAUCAGAGCUCCAGGCUCCAAGAAGAGACAAGCAGCAGCAGAGUUAAAAAUGUCCUGUCUUUCCACACCACAUCUUCCUACACUGAUGGGGCAGCUUACAUGAUGAGUCUGUCUUCCCUGAGGACUCACAGGACUUAA
rnacentral:lncRNA from 1 species